GUCCCUGUGCAAUGAAUAGCGCAUUGGACUUCUAAUCCAAAAACUGUGGGUUCGAAUCCCACCUGGGAUG